rnacentral:rRNA from 1 species
GAUGAACGCUGGCGGCGUGCCUAAUACAUGCAAGUCGAGCGAACAGACGAGGAGCUUGCUCCUCUGACGUUAGCGGCGGACGGGUGAGUAACACGUGGAUAACCUACCUAUAAGACUGGGAUAACUUCGGGAAACCGGAGCUAAUACCGGAUAACAUGUUGAACCGCAUGGUUCAACAGUGAAAGACGGUCUUGCUGUCACUUAUAGAUGGAUCCGCGCCGCAUUAGCUAGUUGGUAAGGUAACGGCUUACCAAGGCAACGAUGCGUAGCCGACCUGAGAGGGUGAUCGGCCACACUGGAACUGAGACACGGUCCAGACUCCUACGGGAGGCAGCAGUAGGGAAUCUUCCGCAAUGGGCGAAAGCCUGACGGAGCAACGCCGCGUGAGUGAAGAAGGUCUUCGGAUCGUAAAACUCUGUUAUUAGGGAAGAACAAAUGUGUAAGUAACUAUGCACGUCUUGACGGUACCUAAUCAGAAGGCCACGGCUAACUACGUG